CAGCACCUCCCUCUGUCUGAACAGCUCAUUAUUCUGAUGCACUCAUACCCUGAGAUUCUCACAUUGGUUGCAUAUUCUUAUGCACCACCCAUGAACCGCCACACACACACAUACAGGGGCACAUUGCCAUACACAGAAACACAAAUACACUGCCACACAAAGAUACACACAGAUUCACUCUGAGAGAUACACAUACAGAUUGAUACACAUACACAGUUGCAUUGACACAUACUGACAUACAUGCGCAGAUACAUACACUGACACACACAAAACACUAACAUGCACAGAGACAUACACUGACACACACAAAACACUGACAAACAUGCACAGAGACAUACACUGACAAACACAAAACACUAACAUACAUAUACCGUCAAAUACACUGAGCACACACAGAACACUAACACACACACACACAGACACAUAUGCUGACACACAAGGCCAGAUACAUACAUUGACACACACAAAACACUGACACACAUGUACAGAUACAUUCACUGACUCACAAGCACAUAUAUGUACACUAAGUCACAAAACACUGACACAUAUGCAACCAUACAUACACUGAGAUACAUAAACACUGACACAUAUGUACAGAUGCAUACACUGACACACCUGCAUAGA